CCUACGGGAGGCAGCAGUGGGGAAUCUUGCGCAAUGGGCGAAAGCCUGACGCAGCCAUGCCGCGUGAAUGAUGAAGGUCUUAGGAUUGUAAAAUUCUUUCACCGGGGACGAUAAUGACGGUACCCGGAGAAGAAGCCCCGGCUAACUUCGUGCCAGCAGCCGCGGUAAUACGAAGGGGGCUAGCGUUGCUCGGAAUUACUGGGCGUAAAGGGAGCGUAGGCGGAUAGUUUAGUCAGAGGUGAAAGCCCAGGGCUCAACCUUGGAAUUGCCUUUGAUACUGGCUAUCUUGAGUACGGAAGAGGUAUGUGGAACUCCGAGUGUAGAGGUGAAAUUCGUAGAUAUUCGGAAGAACACCAGUGGCGAAGGCGACAUACUGGUCCGUUACUGACGCUGAGGCUCGAAAGCGUGGGGAGCAAACAGGAUUAGAUACCCUGGUAGUCCACGCUGUAAACGAUGAGUGCUAGUUGUCGGCAUGCAUGCAUGUCGGUGGACGCAGCUAACGACAUUAAGACACCUCCGCCGUCGGGAGGUACGGUCGGCGAGAAGUUAAACGUAACUAAAUUAGAGUAGUUAGGCGUGAGACGNGCCGACGGACGACGACGAGGGAGGAGG
rnacentral:rRNA from 1 species